UGGGCCAGUGAUGAGUACCCUGGGGUGUCUGAAUCAAGGAUUUUGAUUAAACCCAUAAUCUCUGAGGUCCUA
rnacentral:snoRNA from 1 species